CGGCGGCUAUCAGAAGUGCGAUCCGGAAGUCCAGUACGUGACCCGGACCGAGACUGUGCCCGAGUACGUCACCACAACCCAGUACCAGGUGCACACGCAGUACCAGACUCAGUACCAGCCGCACUACGUCACCCACACUGAGCAGGUGCCACAGUACGUCACCCACACACAGGUAGUGCC
rnacentral:lncRNA from 1 species